GAUGAACGCUGGCGGCGUGCCUAAUACAUGCAAGUCGAGCGAACAGACGAGGAGCUUGCUCCUCUGACGUUAGCGGCGGACGGGUGAGUAACACGUGGAUAACCUACCUAUAAGACUGGGAUAACUUCGGGAAACCGGAGCUAAUACCGGAUAAUAUAUUGAACCGCAUGGUUCAAUAGUGAAAGACGGUUUUGCUGUCACUUAUAGAUGGAUCCGCGCCGCAUUAGCUAGUUGGUAAGGUAACGGCUUACCAAGGCGACGAUGCGUAGCCGACCUGAGAGGGUGAUCGGCCACACUGGAACUGAGACACGGUCCAGACUCGUACGGGAGGCAGCAGUAGGGAAUCUUCCGCAAUGGGCGAAAGCUUGACGGAGCAACGCCGCGUGAGUGAUGAAGGUCUUCGGAUCGUAAAACUCUGUUAUUAGGGAAGAACAAAUGUGUAAGUAACUAUGCACGUCUUGACGGUACCUAAUCAGAAAGCCACGGCUAACUACGUG
rnacentral:rRNA from 1 species